rnacentral:hammerhead_ribozyme from 1 species
AUCCAGCUGAUGAGUUCAAAAUAGGACGAAACAGGCGUCUUGGAU